rnacentral:rRNA from 1 species
CCUACGGGUGGCAGCAGUGGGGAAUAUUGCACAAUGGGGGAAACCCUGAUGCAGCGACGCCGCGUGAGUGAGGAAGGAUUUCGGUAUGGAAAGCUCUAUCAGCAGGGAAGAAAAUGACGGUACCUGACGAAGAAGCCACGGCUAACUACGUGCCCGCAGCCGCGGUAAUACGUAGGGGGCAAGCGUUAUCCGGAUUUACUGGGUGUAAAGGGAGCGUAGACGGGUAAUCAAGUCAGAAGUGAAAACCAAGGGCUCCACCUUGGGACUGCUUUGGAAACUGCGUAGCUAGAGUGCAGGAGAGGUAAGCCGAAUUCCUCGUGUAGCGGUGAACUGCGUAGAUAUUAGGAGGCACCCCAGUGGCG